GAUGAACGCUGGCGGCGUGCCUAAUACAUGCAAGUCGAGCGAACAGACGAAGAGCCUGCUCCUCUGACGUUAGCGGCGGACGGGUGAGUAACACGUGGAUAACCUACCUAUAAGACUGGGAUAACUUCGGGAAACCGGAGCUAAUACCGGAUAAUAUAUUGAACCGCAUGGUUCAAUAGUGAAAGACGGUUUUGCUGUCACUUAUAGAUGGAUCCGCGCCGCAUUAGCUAGUUGGUAAGGUAACGGCUUACCAAGGCAACGAUACGUAGCCGACCUGAGAGGGUGAUCGGCCACACUGGAACUGAGACACGGUCCAGACUCCUACGGGAGGCAGCAGUAGGGAAUCUUCCGCAAUGGGCGAAAGCUUGACGGAGCAACGCCGCGUGAGUGAUGAAGGUCUUCGGAUCGUAAAACUCUGUUAUUAGGGAAGAACAAAUGUGUAAGUAACUAUGCACGUCUUGACGGUACCUAAUCAGAAAGCCACGGCUAACUACGUG
rnacentral:rRNA from 1 species